rnacentral:lncRNA from 1 species
CCAAGCUGAGGGCAUUUAAAAUGGAGUUGGGAAGCCACGGUUCAUCAGAACUCAGACACAAGUGCAGCAGAAUCUUUGAAUUAAGCUGCAUAUAAAUCCACUCUGGAUAUUGCAAUCCCAAUCAGCCGCAAACAACUGUCUUGAGGAGAUGAUUUCAUCCUCCAUGAACACCACAGAUGAGAACCAGUUAUCUCAACUCAGAGGGAAAUACCAUCAAUCCCAUAAGACUAUGGGGAAAUGUGACUGGAAAUAUCUUGGAAAGACUAUAUGGAAAGAAGACAGAACAAAAAUAAUUAUGAUCAAUAUUGGUUGGGAAACAAAAUUUCACCUUCCUUCAUGUAAGAUACUACAUUGAGAUUGUAAGCGAUACAGAUAAAUAAAAAUAAAAUCUCAC